UCCNGGCCCUACGGGGCGCAGCAGUCGCGAAAACUUCGCAAUGGGGGCAACCCCGACGAGGGAAUUCCAAGUGCCAGCACUUUGUGUUGGCUGUUCUCCUGUCUAAAAAACAGGAGGAGUAAGGGGCGGGUAAGACGGGUGCCAGCCGCCGCGGUAAUACCCGCGCCCCUAGUGGUGGUCGAUAUUAUUGAGCCUAAAACGUCCGUAGCCGGUCUUCUAAAUCCUUAGGUAAAUCGGACAGCUUAACUGUCCGAAUUCCGGGGAGACUGGGAGACUUGGGACCGGGAGAGGUCAGAGGUACUUCUGGGGUAGGGGUAAAAUCCUGUAAUCCUGGAAGGACCACCGGUGGCGAAGGCGUCUGACUAGAACGGAUCCGACGGUGAGGGACGAAGCCCUGGGGCGCAAACGGGAUUAGAUACCCCGGUAGUCCAGGGUGUAAACGCUGCGGGCUUGGUGUUGGGGGUCCUUAGUGGGCGCCCAGUGCCGGAGAGAAGUUGUUAAGCCUGCUGCUUGGGGAGUAUGUCCGCAAGGAUGAAACUUAAAGGAAUUGGCGGGGGAGCACCGCAACGGGAGGAGCGUGCGGUUCAAUUGGAUUCAACGCCGGG
rnacentral:rRNA from 1 species